UACGGGGGGGGGCAAGCGUUGUUCGGAAUUACUGGGCGUAAAGGGCUCGUAGGCGGCCAACUAAGUCGGAUGUGAAAUCCCCAGGCUCAACUUGGGAACUGCAUCCGAUACUGGAUGGCUUGAAUUCGGGAGAGGGAUGCAGAAUUCCAGGUGUAGCGGUGAAAUGCGUAGAUAUCUGGAGGAAUACCGGUGGCGAAGGCGGCAUCCUGGACCGACAUUGACGCUGAGGAGCGAAGCUAGGGAGCAAACGGG
rnacentral:rRNA from 1 species